CCUACGGUAAGCUGCAGUGGGGAAUAUUGGACAAUGGGCGAAAGCCUGAUCCAGCCAUGCCGCGUGUGUGAAGAAGGCCUUCGGGUUGUAAAGCACUUUCAGUGGGGAAGAAAGCCUUGGGGCUAAUACCCUCGAGGAAGGACAUCACCCACAGAAGAAGCACCGGCUAACUCCGUGCCAGCAGCCGCGGUAAUACGGAGGGUGCGAGCGUUAAUCGGAAUUACUGGGCGUAAAGCGCGCGUAGGCGGUCUGAUAAGCCGGUUGUGAAAGCCCCGGGCUCAACCUGGGAACGGCAUCCGGAACUGUCAGGCUAGAGUGCAGGAGAGGAAGGUAGAAUUCCCGGUGUAGCGGUGAAAUGCGUAGAGAUCGGGAGGAAUACCAGUGGCGAAGGCGGCCUUCUGGACUGACACUGACGCUGAGGUGCGAAAGCGUGGGUAGCAAACAGGAUUAGAUACCCUUGUAGUC
rnacentral:rRNA from 1 species